AACGCACGAGACCUGCGGACCUGCGGAAGGAUCAUUAAUGAGAAGCUGCCCCUCGUGGGUAGACCUCCCACCCUCUGUGAACUUACCUUUGUUGCUUUGGCAGGCCCGUCCUCUGGACCGCCGGCUUCGGCUGGCCCGUGCCUGCCAGAGGAUUCCAAACCCUGUCUGUCAGUGUUGUCUGAGUCUAUAUGAAAUCGUCAAAACUUUCAACAACGGAUCUCUAGAUCGGAAGAGCACACG
rnacentral:misc_RNA from 1 species